rnacentral:rRNA from 1 species
UACAGAGGUCUCAAGCGUUGUUCGGAUUCAUUGGGCGUAAAGGGUGUGUAGGUGGCGCGCUAAGUCGGGUGUGAAAUUUCGGAGCUUAACUCCGAAACUGCAUUCGAUACUGGCGUGCUUGAGGACUGGAGAGGAGACUGGAAUUUACGGUGUAGCGGUGAAAUGCGUAGAUAUCGUAAGGAAGACCAGUGGCGAAGGCGGGUCUCUGGACAGUUCCUGACGCUGAGGCACGAAGGUCAGGGGAGCAAACGGGG